rnacentral:rRNA from 1 species
AACGAACGCUGGCGGCAGGCUUAACACAUGCAAGUCGAACGGUUGUAGCAAUACAGCAGUGGCAGACGGGUGAGUAACACGUGGGUGAUCUGCCCUGCACUUCGGGAUAAGCCUGGGAAACUGGGUCUAAUACCGGAUAGGACCACUGCCUGCAUGGGUGGUGGUGGAAAGCUUUUGCGGUGUGGGAGGGGCCCGCGGCCUAUCAGCUUGUUGGUGGGGUGACGGCCUACCAAGGCGACGACGGGUAGCCGGCCUGAGAGGGUGACCGGCCACACUGGGACUGAGAUACGGCCCAGACUCCUACGGGAGGCAGCAGUGGGGAAUAUUGCACAAUGGGCGCAAGCCUGAUGCAGCGACGCCGCGUGAGGGAUGACGGCCUUCGGGUUGUAAACCUCUUUCAGCACCGACGAAGCGCAAGUGACGGUAGGUGCAGAAGAAGGACCGGCCAACUACGUGCCAGCCGCCGCAGUAA